rnacentral:rRNA from 1 species
CUUSRGRAAGAUCAUUGUCGAAACCUGCCCAGCAGAAAGACCCGCGAACAGGUUAUCAAAUUUUCUUCGGGGGCGAGGGGUGCGACGCGCCUUGAACCCCCCCACGCCGAGUGCGUGUGGCUUUGCCCCGCGUCCUCGGCCGCUAACCAACCACGGCGCGGAAUGCGUCAAGGAAACAUAAAGAAACGAGCCUCYGCUGCGGCCCCAGAUUUGGUGCUUGCCGCGGCGGAUGUGUCGUGUUUCGUUUAGGUCUAAAAACGACUCUCGGCAACGGAUAUCUCGKCUCUCGCAACAUUGAAAACGAGCGRAUGCGAUACUUGGUGUGAAUUGCAGAAUCCCGUGAACCAUCGAGUCUUUGAACGCAAGUUGCGCCCGAAGCCAUCCGGCCGAGGGCACGCCUGCCUGGGCGUCACACAUCGUUGCCCCCCAAAUCCCUCCGACACUAUCCACAUGGUGCGGGGGGACUGCGAGGGGCGGAUGAUGGCCUCCCGUGGGCCUCGACUCGCGGUUGGUCUAAACAUGGGUCCUCGGUCACGGUUGCCGUGGCAACAGGUGGUCGUCGAUGAUUCGGUGCCCUGCCACGUGCUCUGGACAAAAGCACCGAGGGACUUUACAAACUUGACCCCGACGCACCCCGCUUCGGUGCAUCCAACGCGACCCCAGGUCAGGCG